rnacentral:rRNA from 1 species
UACGGAGGGUGCGAGCGUUGUCCGGAAUCAUUGGGCGUAAAGGGCGCGUAGGUGGCGAGGUAAGUCGGAUGUGAAAGCUCGGAGCUCAACUCCGAAAUGGCAUUGGAAACUACCUUGCUCGAGGGUUGGAGGGGGGACUGGAAUUCUCGGUGUAGCAGUGAAAUGCGUAGAUAUCGAGAGGAACACCAGUGGCGAAGGCGAGUCCCUGGACAACUCCUGACACUGAGACGCGAAAGCGUGGGGAGCGAACAGGG